AUCUCCCACUUAGGGGGAAGAGAGUGGUUGAUGUUUCAACAAUAUAAAUGACGGUCAUCAAAGGUGGAGUUUGGUUGCAAAAUCCGCACCCAUAGGGCCUCUAAAAAACUUACCUCCGUACAAUUUUGAACAAAAUCUAAAUGGAGAAAAUAUAUGUAAGACUAAAACUUAAAAAACAAAGUAACAAAACGCGACAAUUAACUUGAGAAAAUAAAUGGGAGUUGAUAUAUCCUUUUUCCACGUCUUCCUUCACAAACAAUAACAGCAUGUACAUGACGGAUUGACAGCUCUUGACGAUAAAGGCCGUGGUCAUGGCGUACACUGCUGUCAUGAUAGCUGCUCGGAGAGAAUCCAAAUACGGAUGGGAGGUGCAUUCAUCUCCAAGACACCUCAAACUACAAAGUCUAGGUGGUUGAUGUCAGGGGGGGAAUGUAGGCCAGAAGUUAGUCAUAUUAUCAUGAGUGUCAGCAGGAGGGUGUGCUGGAGGCGUUAUACCCCCUAAAUGAAGGAAUUUUUGAAGGAAUCUCCGGAUGUAGAUGCCAAAGCUUUCGUCUGGUUGUGUAAUGAGACCUUGAGGUUCAAAAUAAUGGGGAUAUAAUUUUAAUUAAAAGAUACUGCAAGUUUUGUGUCUCCACUCUGUUCUACCGAGUGGCUCAUUAAAAUCUGAACACUUUGAAUUUUAAACUUCAACAUGAUAUAUUAAUUAAAAUUUCAACACAAGCAAUAUUAUGAAUGGAAGUGUGUCGGAGAUAUCUUAAUCAUUGAUGCAGCCAACAUUAGCAACAAUGAUGGCUUCCAGAUGGUGGCGGAAAGCCUGGCACCCGCUACAGGUGUAGUCUUCUGUCAUUGCGUAUCAGGGCUGGCAGACAGUGGCUUUGAGAGCCUCCGUGUUUGGAUGACGGACACUGCAGGACCUUACCUCAACAUGCAACUAAAAGGUGUAGUCGAACGGAUUAGAAUCAGGAAAGUAUCGAGAGUUGUUCAAGGAUUGUCCUAGGCUGCUUUCUUUUACUCUUCCAGGUCCAGUUUGGCCUUUUUGGACAGAAACCUUCUUCCUCUACAAAGUUUUGGACUUGCUGAUGCGCAGACGGUCGUCUAUAUACAACCAACUGCUUGUAGUGGUGCUCCAAUGGAAAUUUAUCGAUCACGUUCACGUGUCAUUUUCUGGAAGUGUACGUAAGCUAAAUAGCUCAAUUAUUUAUACUUUAAUAUAUUGAAAUAUGAAUAAAUUUCAA
rnacentral:lncRNA from 1 species